UGCAGUGAGCUGAGAUCACGCCACUGCACACCAGCCUGGGUGACAGAGCGAGACUCUGUCUCGAAAAAGAAAGAAAAUGUAAGCUGGCUUCCCGCCCCCUCUGCCCCACGUGCCGGCCCUCCUGGUGCUCUAUCCACUGCAGGGCCAGCCACUCGCCAGGAGGCCACGGGCCACGGGAAGAACCAAGCGGCGCCAGCCACGAGACGUCACCAAGAAAACAUGCAACUCAAACGACGGAAAAAAAAAGGGAAUGGGAAAAAAGAAAACAGAUCCUGGGAGGGGGCGGGAAAUACAAGGAAUAUUUUUUAAAGAGGAUUCUCAUAAGGAAAGCAAUGACUGUUCUUGCGGGGGAUAAAAAGGGCUUGGGAGAUUCAUGCGAUGUGUCCAAUCGGAGACAAAAGCAGUUUCUCUCCAACUCCCUCUGGGAAGGUGACCUGGCCAGAGCCAAGAAACACUUUCAGAAAAACAAAUGUGAAGGGGAGAGACAGGGGCCGCCCUUGGCUCCUGUCCCUGCUGC
rnacentral:lncRNA from 1 species